rnacentral:rRNA from 1 species
AGAGUUUGAUCAUGGCUCAGGACGAACGCUGGCGGCACGCUUAACACAUGCAAGUCGAACGGAGUUAAACGAGAGCUUGCUCUUGUUUAACUUAGUGGCGGACGGGUGAGUAACACGUGAGCAACCUGCCUUUAAGAGAGGGAUAACAGUCUGAAAAGACUGCUAAUACCUCAUAAUAUAACGAAGCCGCAUGACUUUGUUAUCAAAGAUUUAUCGCUUAAAGAUGGGCUCGCGUCUGAUUAGCUUGUUGGUGAGGUAACGGCCCACCAAGGCGACGAUCAGUAGCCGUACUGAGAGGUAGAUCGGCCACAUUGGGACUGAGACACGGCCCAGACUCCUACGGGAGGCAGCAGUGGGGAAUAUUGCACAAUGGAGGAAACUCUGAUGCAGCGAUGCCGCGUGAGGGAAGAAGGUUUUCGGAUUGUAAACCUCUGUCUUCAGGGACGAUAAUGACGGUACCUGAGGAGGAAGCUCCGGCUAACUACGUGCCAGCAGCCGCGGUAAUACGUAGGGAGCGAGCGUUGUCCGGAAUUACUGGGUGUAAAGGGAGUGUAGGCGGGAUGGUAAGUUAGGUGUGAAAUCUAUGGGCUCAACCCAUAAAUUGCACUUAAAACUGCUGUUCUUGAGUGAAGUAGAGGUUAGCGGAAUUCCUAGUGUAGCGGUGAAAUGCGUAGAUAUUAGGAGGAACAUCAGUGGCGAAGGCGGCUAACUGGGCUUUUACUGACGCUGAGGCUCGAAAGCGUGGGGAGCAAACAGGAUUAGAUACCCUGGUAGUCCACGCUGUAAACGAUGAUUACUAGGUGUGGGGGAGGCUGACCCUUUUCCGUGCCGCAGUU